ACGAGCAAAGCGGAAAAGUCGAAUACGAGCGAGAAAAACUGCUGGGAAUCGCUAUGAAAAUUCAUUAAUUUGUUUUAAAAAUUCAUGUAUUCGACUUUUCCGCUUUGCUCGU